rnacentral:rRNA from 1 species
GAUGAACGCUGGCGGCGUGCUUAACACAUGCAAGUCGAACGGAAAGGCCCUUCUUUUGUGGGGUUCUCGAGUGGCGAACGGGUGAGUAACACGUGAGUAACCUGCCCUUGACUUUGGGAUAACUUCAGGAAACUGGGGCUAAUACCGGAUAGGAGCUCCUGCUGCAUGGUGUGGGGUGGAAAGUUUCGGCGGUUGGGGAUGGGCUCGCGGCUUAUCAGCUUGUUGGUGGGGUAGUGGCUUACCAAGGCUUUGACGGGUAGCCGGCCUGAGAGGGUGACCGGCCACAUUGGGACUGAGAUACGGCCCAGACUCCUACGGGAGGCAGCAGUGGGGAAUAUUGCACAAUGGGCGGAAGCCUGAUGCAGCGACGCCGCGUGCGGGAUGACGGCCUUCGGGUUGUAAACCGCUUUCGCCUGUGACGAAGCGUGAGUGACGGUAAUUGGUAAAGAAGCACCGGCUAACUACGUG